rnacentral:rRNA from 1 species
CAUACCUAUUCGAAGGGAUAGGGUCGGUUUGGCCGGAUUUCACACAGGUGUUGCAUGGCUGUCGUCAGCUCUUGUCGUGAGAUGUUGGGUUAAGUCCCGCAACGAGCGCAACCCUCAUCCUUAGUUACCAUCAGGUUAUGCUGGGGACUUUAAGGAAACUGCCAGUGAUAAACUGGAGGAAGGUGGGGAUGAUGUCAAGUCAUCAUGGCCCUUAUGGAGUGGGCUACACACGUGCUACAAUGGUGAUUACAAUGGGCUGCAAGGUCGCAAGGCUGAGCUAAUCCUAAAAAAUCAUCUCAGUUCGGAUUGUUCUCUGCAACUCGAGAGCAUGAAGUUGGAAUCGCUAGUAAUCGUGGAUCAGCAUGCCACGGUGAAUACGUUCUCGGGUCUUGUACACACUGCCCGUCACGCCAUGGGAAUUGGUUUCACUCCAAGCU